rnacentral:rRNA from 1 species
AGGACGAACGCUGGCGGCGUGCUUAACACAUGCAAGUGGAGCGACGAACCGGGGCUUGCCCCGGGGCAGAGCCGCGAACGGGUGAGUAACACGUGGGUAACCCACCCCGAUGAUUGGGACAACCCGGGGAAACUCGGGCUAAUACCAAAUGUGCUCGUAGACCAUGAGGUCCAUGAGUAAAGAUAGCUUCGGCCUUCGCAUCGGGACGGGCCCGCGGCCCAUUAGCUUGUUGGUGAGGUAACGGCUCACCAAGGCGACGAUGGGUAGCUGGUCUGAGAGGACGAUCAGCCACACUGGGACUGAGACACGGCCCAGACUCCUACGGGAGGCAGCAGUGGGGAAUAUUGGACAAUGGGCGCAAGCCUGAUCCAGCCAUGCCGCGUGAGUGAUGAAGGCCCUAGGGUUGUAAAGCUCUUUUGUACGGGAAGAUAAUGACGGUACCGUAAGAAUAAGCCCCGGCUAACUUCGUGCCAGCAGCCGC